UAACAUUACAGCAGAAGCCUUGUCAAGUGUCGAUAACCUUCCCGGUCUGUUUUUGCGCUAGUACCACACUUAGAGGGAAAAUCAUGGGAAGUACCGUAAGAGAUAACACUAACUACAGCAUGCUCCAAGCCCAAAUAGAUAGCCAAGUGCUGAGUCAAAAACGAUUUGUUCCCAUGGAAGAAAGGCACGACACCAGCUUGCUUCCAGCUGAAAUGAUGCCAGCCAUUUGUAGUGUUGUGCCACAAUUACUUUGGGAGCUUAAACCGCGUACAAUAAUUGAGUU